rnacentral:rRNA from 1 species
UACAGAGGUCUCAAGCGUUAAUCGGAAUUACUGGGCUUAAAGGGUGCGUAGGCGGUUCCGUAAGUACCUUGUGAAAUCCCAUGGCUUAACCAUGGAAUUGCUCGGUAGACUGCGGGGCUUGAGGUCAGUAGGGGUCGCUGGAACUCUAGGUGGAGCGGUGAAAUGCGUAGAUAUCUAGAGGAACGCCAAAGGUGAAGACAGGCGACUGGGCUGAAUCUGACGCUGAGGCACGAAAGCGUGGGUAGCGAACGGG